CUUGCGAGAUAAGUUUAAAUCCUUCGGAGCCGUUUGGUCGAUGGUCAAGAAGUCAGAUGAAGGUUUCGAUCGUUUGGCCGACGUGACUGACAUCAUGUGACAAAGGAUUUGUUCGCGAAUACGUAAUAAAAACAGUUGGUUUAAAGACUUAAAACGUGUGUACGAUCUUUGUUGAACUUGCACGAAAUACAAAUAGUUCAUUUAUCUUUCGCCCGUGUCUAUUAAAAAUUGAUCGCUAAGUAAAUUCCAUUCGUGAACAUUUCCUUAACAACUUAAUUAAAAUUCGAAUUGAAAACUUUGGCGGUUUGAUAAAUUUGCCUUUUGCCUGCUUCGAGGCAAAGUUCACUACUUUGAAUUUUUAACGUGUUUUUAUUCGAUUCGUUUCUCGUACCUAGUCGGAUUCAUGCUGCGGAAAUUUACGGAAUAUGUUCUGUUUGUUUAGGAUGCUUCCCCCUCUUCAAAACUUCGACAUUUGCAAAUUUACUCGAAUCACAUUCUAUAUUCAAUAAAAUGUAUUAUUAUUACCAAGUUAGGUGACUCUUAUUGUUUCAAUACAUACCACGAUUUAACUUGUUUAUAAAUUAUUCGUGCCUUAAUUUUGCAAAAUGGUAAUGCAAAUGAUCGUUUAUAAAUAUGAUUUCCAAUUCUUAUUAAUUCUCCGAUUCCCGUGAAGAAUCAUGUCAAGCUGAUUUUCUUAACCUUUCUUCAAAUAUGGUUUCUAUUUAUCUCUUCCAUUGUAUUUAUAAGAACCUGUGCCCUCUUUCUACCUUCCGAGCCUAUAAUUCCUAUCUAGAACAAUGGUUGGCAAAGAGUUUCGCCUUCAAUUUCUAUCAACAGUAUUUUCGCCUCCUUUCGUAUAUAGAAAGUAAAAACGUAACGAUUUGUACAUGCACUUUCCACGGACUCGCAAUUUUGCGAUUCAUGCAGUUACAAGCCACUGCUUUUCUUCGAACAACAUAAUUACUUGUGUAAAGAAUAUCAUUUUCAAAAUAUGCAUAGAUGUGUGAAAAAUGUAAAUAAUUUGACCUGGGGUUCGUAUAUCGAUGACGAUAGACGUUUCUUAUUCAGCGACGCAGAAAAACGAUUAAACAAGAGAAGAGAGUAUUUUCUACCAAAUUGUAACGUCAUAAGAUGACUCCACCUCCUAUUUUGGAUUCUCUCCGUAUUUCGGCGAAGCCUCUGGCUUAUUAUAUCAUAUUAUAUCUUCGAAACUAACAUGACUCAAGGUAAAAACAAGUCUGACACACGAAUAAAGUUGAUCUCUUUUUCUCGCGCAAUUCUCCUUAAAAGAUUACUGAAUUUAUUGUAUCUACUCUUCCCACGCACGGGUUCGUGCGAGAACGUGAAUGGUAAUUUUCGAAAACUCGCGCUCGGUUUCGAACAGCACUCGUACCGAUCUAAAGAUACAUUUUCUCGGUACGACAUUGCGUGGUUAGCUUGCCAAUUACCAUAUAGACGAGAGUGCACAGUUGUCCUUUCCACGAAGACGUCGCGUCUCGUCGCGUCAUGAUUCUCGUAGAAGAGACCUGAUUAUCGAGGAAGAGCGGUCGGUGUCGCGCGAUUUUGUCUGAUCGCCAAAUCCAGCGAGUAAACGAGUAGAGACGUGGUUCAGACGGCCCACGAGUGUUUUACGAUCGAUUUUAUUGAACGGUAUAGAUCGACGAACGAGAGACCUUGCAUUCUUUCUGAAGUUCAAAAUUAUCAGUAAAUGGCCGACCAUAAUUCGAUGAAGAGGAAGAGGAACUGUUUAAAAUGUGAAGCUUAGAAGGUGGCUGGCUGGCUGACUAGUUGCCUCCGGGAUCUUGGAACAGCGUAUUUUCAAGCAAACAUUGCGACAGAGUGGAGCCAUUCGACUUUACAAACUUUGCAUUUGCAUAAAACCAAAGCAAAGCUGGUCGACUGUAUUAAGUUCAAGAUCACGAGGAAUCCUCGAGGCACCGAAUCCCUACGCGCUGCGUCACGAUCAAGAAUAUCGUUAACAUCUCUUUCACGAGUGUCCUUAGAGUUAAACGAUAUUCAAAUUCAAAACAGACCGCGGCGGUCGUUAUGGCUAUACAUAUAUACAAACGAGUACGUUUCUUUGAACUCUCCUGUAACCUUCCUUCAUGAUGGGUUUUUUACCGAUCGAAGAAUCAUCGGCUAUUGGUCAACAAUUUUAAAUCUCAAGUUUCUAGUCAAAAUGAGUCGAAGCGCGUCGACAUUAUUUAUCGUCUAAGUUUCAAGGUACGUGCAAAAUUUACGAAUUGGAAACAAAUACUUUUCAAUUUAUUUCUUUUUUUACUGCUAUAACGUACUUGUACAGAAUAUAUGAAGAAACAGAUGAGCAAUGAAUACAACAAUCUUAGUUUUCAUGUUUAGAAAAUUUGAUUAAGCGACGAUGGUUCAUAUAAAAUUUAGUAAUAAAUUCAAUGAAAUUUGGUCGAUCGAAUGAAGGUCGGGCCUCUCGUUAGAAUAAGAGCUACUUCAGUAGCAUCGAACAAAAGUGAGAUAUAAAAACGUGUCGACAGUCACGCGCAUCAUAAAAGUAACUUUUUCAAUCUGGCAUUUAUUGUACGAUAACACUCGAUUACAUAACUUUCUCAUUGUUAAUUGAAAGAGGUUGCAAAUAGUUGGUGAAACGAGCGAAACAGCUACUUUUGUUUUAGCAGAGUUCUGGCAACUGAACCGUUCUACGAAACAACGAGGAAAUUACAGUACACUUGAAUCGCCGGUAGGCAAUAAAACGGAAGUUUAUCUCAAAGGCAAACGUUUAACCACAAUGCUUAAAAUUCAUUCUAUUACUAACGCGUGCUGCCUCAUAUUUUUUUGCAUCUACGAACAUAUAAUUGCAUUCAAUAGCAUUGCGCAAGAUGUUAAUAAGAAAAUCGUUUUAGGCAUUCAGCAGAAUAAUCGCAUAUUGCAAAUACGCUAUUUUUUAAACAGGUUAUAUAUCUAUAAACUGGAAAAUGACCGAUCAAUGAAUAUUUUUACAAAGUGCUCACUGUCGAUGCAACGUUUAUUUCUAAAUGUACGAGGCAUCAAAUAUUGAUCGCUAGUGACAUCUAAACUCUUCUAUGUUGUUUAGACAGGACGGUUUGGAUACGCGACUGCGAAUUUCGGAGCAGUCUAUAUCCCUCCCUCACACACACACACACGAUUGCUCACACGAAUGAACAAACGAACAGAAGGCACGAUAUACACUGAUGAAACCACCUGUAC